UGCCGUGAUGAGAUCACUCCAUAGGAAGUGCCGUCAGAAGCGAAAGAUGCACACACAAACACACAGAGA